rnacentral:sRNA from 1 species
GUUUGCACUCAUCGGGGAAGGGUGAGAACCUUCGACUAAGGUUCGAUUCGAGCGAAAGCGAGAGAACGCUGCCACAGGCAACGGCCCGAAGGGUGAGGAGCGAAGCGACGAAUAAUCCUUCCCCCACCACCA